CGGCCCGACUGCGCUUUCUAAGUUCAGAUGCCUCGCUUUCGGGAUUUUGUAAACCCGCGAAUCGCCCCGCUUUGCUUCCGUGGCGGCUGCGCGGCGUCCUGCCACCGCGGCUGUCGGUGGGAUUCCCGUGCGCUCCGGCUGCUGAGGCAAAUGGGGGGAUCCCGCCUUAAUAUCCGAUUUCGUGUUUCUCUUUCAGUGAUCCUGGUGACAGAAUGACACAGUUUUUGUAAGCCCGUGACUGCAUCAGAAGCUCUUCCACUUUUGAUUUGUUUAAAUCAGCCAUAUUUGCCAAGUGUUCAGGGUUGGGCUGGGAAAGCUAGUGCUGUACGUUGCUCAAGGGUGUAGGAGAGGCCAAGCAGGAUACACAGUCGCGGAAAUAUGUUUGUCUUUCCGUAAUGAUUAAACUUUGAUUUAAACUUUGGUCAUGGGCACGUACUGUACCAUUACGCAAGCAGCACUUAAGGAUGAAGUGUCAGCAUAGCAACAAUAUGGCCAGCAGCAGCAGUGAUCUCUGCAAAGCUGAUUGAUGAAGAGAACUGCAAUGUAGAUGCAAAUAAAUGCCACAUCGUGGCACCUUCACAGGGAA